rnacentral:RNase_P_RNA from 1 species
CUUGGACGUAUUGAGGAGAAUACAUACGAGAUUACUUUAAACAAGUAAGAACACUCACAUUAACCAUAACUCCUGGGAAGGUCUGAGGUGUUGUUUACUCACGAGAAGUGAGGUUGGUAAAUCAAUAAUGCUAAUAUCCCAGAACCAGAAAUGGGCUUGGGAGGAAACUCUCAAUUGAAACGGCUGGGAUGACACCGCAAAAGUUUAGUUAGAUGUACAACACAGCUCACUGGGCUGUAACACAAUUCAGACUACUGGCGAG